UCCUCAGUGGGGAUUUAUAUUUGUUCAUAAAAUGUGGGAUUCAUGUUAGAACUUUUCAUUUUAUUUCAAAACCUUUCAAAAAUUAACAAUAAUUUGAAGCCACCCGAACGGAAUUGACUCUUAGGACCCCAUAGGGGUUCUGGACCCCCUGUUGAAGAUCCCUGCUCUGAUGGAUUG